GUGUCAGCCGCCGCGGUAAUACGUAGGGACCAAGCGUUGUUCGGAUUUACUGGGCGUAAAGGGCGCGUAGGCGGCAAAUUAAGUCAUCUGUGAAAUCUCCGAGCUUAACUCGGAACGGUCAGGUGAUACUGAUCUGCUAGAGUGCGGAAGGGGCAAUCGGAAUUCUUGGUGUAGCGGUGAAAUGCGUAGAUAUCAAGAGGAACACCUGAGGUGAAGACGGGUUGCUGGGCCGACACUGACGCUGACAGCGCGAAAGCCAGGGGAGCAAACGGGAUUAGAUACCCCAGUAGUCC
rnacentral:rRNA from 1 species